GUGCUUGCACUUUGAUGACGACCGGCGCACGGGUGAGUAACGCGUAUACAAUCUGCCUCAUACUAGGGGAUAGCCCAGAGAAAUUUGGAUUAAUACCCUAUAGUAUCAUUUAGAGUCAUCUCUUUAUGAUUAAAGGUUACGGUAUGAGAUGAGUAUGCGUUCUAUUAGUUAGUAGGUGAGGUAACGGCUCACCUAGACCACGAUAGAUAGGGGCCCUGAGAGGGGGAUCCCCCACACUGGUACUGAGACACGGACCAGACUCCUACGGGAGGCAGCAGUGAGGAAUAUUAGACAAUGGGCGAAAGCCUGAUCUAGCCAUGCCGCGUGCAGGAUGACGGCCCUAUGGGUUGUAAACUGCUUUUAUACAGGAAGAAAAAACUCUACGUGUAGAGUCUUGACGGUACUGUAAGAAUAAGGAUCGGCUAACUCCGUGCCAGCAGCCGCGGUAAUACGGAGGAUCCAAGCGUUAUCCGGAAUUAUUGGGUUUAAAGGGUCCGUAGGUGGACAAUUAAGUCAGAGGUGAAAUCCUGCAGCUCAACUGUAGAAUUGCCUUUGAAACUGGUUGUCUUGAGUCAUUAUGAAGUGGUUAGAAUGUGUAGUGUAGCGGUGAAAUGCAUAGAUAUUACACAGAAUACCAAUUGCGAAGGCAGAUCACUAAUAAUGUACUGACACUGAUGGACGAAAGCGUGGGUAGCGAACAGGAUUAGAUACCCUGGUAGUCCACGCCGUAAACGAUGGUCACUAGCUGUUCGGACUUCGGUCUGAGUGGCUAAGCGAAA
rnacentral:rRNA from 1 species